rnacentral:rRNA from 1 species
AUUGAACGCUGGCGGCAGGCCUAACACAUGCAAGUCGAGCGAGCGGCGGACGGGUGAGUAAUGUCUGGGAAACUGCCUGAUGGAGGGGGAUAACUACUGGAAACGGUAGCUAAUACCGCAUACCAUCAGAUGUGCCCAGAUGGGAUUAGCUAGUAGUUGGGGUAACGGUUCACCUAGGAGACGUUCCCUAGCUGGUCUGGGAGGAUGACCAGCCACACGGGAACUUGGACACGGUCCAGACUCCAACGGGAGGCAGCAGUGGGGAAUAUUGCACAAUGGGCGCAAGCCUGAUGCAGCCAUGCCGCGUGGGGGAAGAAGGCCUUCGGGUUGUAAAGCACGUUCAGCGGGGAGGCGUUACCCGCAGAAGAAGCACCGGCUAACUCCGUGCCAGCAGCCGCGGUAAUUC